rnacentral:SRP_RNA from 1 species
CCCGAGGGGGCCCGGGUGAGUCGGGGGGGACCCGGGCAAUGGAGGCGCGUGAACCUGGUCAGGGCGGGAACGCAGCAGCCAUAAGCGCGUCCUUCAUGUGCCCGGGAGCACCUCCCCGGCUCUCCCGGCCCCCCUCGGG